AUGCGAAGGGUGCAAGCGUUACCCGGAAUUACUGGGCGUAAAGCGUGCGUAGGUGGUUUGUUAAGUCUGAUGUGAAAGCCCUGGGCUCAACCUGGGAAUGGCACUGGAUACUGGCAAGCUAGAGUGUGGCAGAGGGUAGUGGAAUUCCUGGUGUAGCAGUGAAAUGCGUAGAGAUCAGGAGGAACAUCCGUGGCGAAGGCGACUGCCUGGGCCAACACUGACACUGAGGCACGAAAGCGUGGGGAGCAAACAGGAUUAGAUACCCUGGUAGUCCACGCCCUAAACGAUGCGAACUGGAUGUUGGGUGCAAUUUGGCACGCAGUAUCGAAGCUAACGCGUUAAGUUCGCCGCCUGGGGAGUACGGUCGCAAGACUGAA
rnacentral:rRNA from 1 species